GGAUGAUGAUUUCCAAAAAACUUUAAGAAAGUUCCUGAUGGAUGUGGUAACGAGAACCCAGAACUGCCACUCUGGUAUGACAUGUAAGAAGAUGGCUGAAAAGCUGAAGGUGUGCGUGGCGUAUGUGCAAAAUCAACACUACAUCUCAAAUCCUUAUGAGCUGUGCAACCAACUCAAGAC